UUUGUCACCGUUACUUUUGGUUGAGAGAAAAGGGUAUAUUAGCGCACGAGAAAGCAUAAGGCAAUACAGUUUCAACAGACCCGUUUGUGUGUGUGUGUGUUUAAAAUAUUUCUUGGGCCAAUCAAGUUCCUUUCUGGUAAAAUGUGUUUAACUAUUUCAUUGUCCUUUUUUAGGCACAGGAAAAUUACGUGUUGACCGCUUUAUAUCCACCACCAGCCAGUGAAAUUACAGAUCCACUGCGAGCUUUCGAGAGAAAACCAUUACUGGUUUAACAAACUUUGGGGCUCGAAUUCUUCAAUGUUAAAUGAUGGCGCACAAGCAGGUUGGGAUUUGAACCGGGGAACCUUCUCCCAAGACGUUAACCACUAGACCUCCCAUGAAACAGUCCUGUAGGAUUAAUUAUACUGAUGUUGUUUCUGAAUAUGGCAUAAAAAUUCUAAAAAUACUGCCCUGUGAUGUCAUAAAGAACAAGAGUUAUCAGACAAUUCUAAACAGACAUCUCUUGAUGACCCAGUUCCAGAAGAGGCAUUCGAGGUGGAGGGUCAAGAGAAACAAGCUGUUGCCUUCAAAAAUAAACCAAAAAAGAGUGUUUACGAUCUGGUAUGUUUGUUUCAGUAAGUUCACCAAUAAGGGCUGGUUCAUACUAAAGUUGUGAAAGGUGAGUAAAAGUUGUGCAUAGUAUGAAUCAGCCAUUAGUUUACCAUAACUUGUGCAAAAACAUUCAGGGAGUCUGAUAUCGAAGCUUUGUCUGAUAUUGGAAUCUAUCCUAUUUACAAAAGAUCUACAGGAUCAACAAUACAGUCCAAAAUACAGAUUUGGCACACAUCAGUUUUUCUUUUUCAAGUGAUGUAUAAUAUAUAACCUAGGAAGCUGGCUCUUUUGAACAACAACUUAUAUAAAUAUAUAAUAGCAAUUAAUUUACAGCAGAACUGGCUGAAGGCACAGGUGUCGUUGUCAAUCAAAUCAACAGUACAAAGGUAACUCUUGAA